rnacentral:rRNA from 1 species
UACGAAGGGGGCUAGCGUUGUUCGGAUUUACUGGGCGUAAAGCGCACGUAGGCGGAUUGUUAAGUUGGGGGUGAAAUCCCAGGGCUCAACCCUGGAACUGCCUUCAAUACUGGCAAUCUAGAGUCCGGAAGAGGUGAGUGGAACUCCUAGUGUAGAGGUGGAAUUCGUAGAUAUUGGGAAGAACACCGGUGGCGAAGGCGGCUAUCUGGCCCGUAAUUGACGCUGAGGCGCGAAAGCGUGGGGAGCAAACAGG